GUGAGCACGUGAGGCAGAGAGAAAGUGGGCCGUACUUGAUUUAUAACAAACCUAGUCCUAUAAAAUCUAGCCCACUCCUGCAGUAACCGUGAUCCAACCAUGACAAAGUCCUUGUGAUCCAGCCACUCUGAAAGAUCCCCUCUUAAUACUCUUAUACCAGCAAUUAAACACUCCAGAGCUGCUCAGGGGCUGUCUACUGCCCAGGGGCUCACUUGGCCUGGAUGCCCACACUAGAGGCCAGCUGCUUAGCCAGCGCCAUCACCUCUCUGACCAAACUUCAUAGGUGACACCACAAAACUUAGAGAAAUCAGGAAAGGCUGGAAGACCUAUGUUAGGAUUAACACCAGGGCUCAGUCAUCAGGUGCCAGAAGUUCCCUGAUGAGAGCCAAUGG
rnacentral:lncRNA from 1 species